ensembl:lncRNA
CCUGAAGAAGUAGCGAAUGGGGGGAGGAGAAACACUCCUCUGACUCAGAACUGGUGAGCAAGAGUCAGUCAUCGGCUUGUGUUCUGGGAAAAAUGGAGGUUCUUCUUUUGAGCCUAGAGAUGAAAAGACAGCCUGGGACCAUAGGCAGAGAAAACUUGUUGAAACUAAGGAAGGCAAUGCAAUGACUUUCCCAGACAUGGGAAUCCCCAGGCAAGGCAGACACAAUCCAGCCUGCAGCAUCGUCCAGCUGGGACAGGGGUAAUAUCUUCGUGAUCUCGUCUUGGCAUUAGGAUCUGCAGGCACAGCUGUCAGCAACCCAGCGGAGGUCCCCAUUCUCAUGGAGCUUAAGAGCUGGUUGGGGGAACUAGGUGUUAGCAGAUGCCGACUCCAGAGGGUGUUCGACAGAUGCCUUCUGAGGUAGGUCCUCGAGGAGCAGAGCAGUCCUGGGUCUUCAGGGAAGUGGCUCCGAGAGUCGUGAAUCAGGCUGACCCUACAGACGGCGGCACUCAGUCAGACUACAUCCACUCCCACAGGGAGCUAAGGGAUGGUGGAGAAGGCUGUGUUUUUCAACAAAGUUUGAAGAGACAGCUUUUUAAUUUCAAAAUACAAUUGUUGCACGUUUAAAUUUUCUCAAGGGGAAGGAAAAGCUCCAUGAAGCGGUGUUUGGUAAAACAUCUUCCAUGAUCCCCUCCCCACCACCCUACCCUGGCGGCUGUGGAGUCAGAGUGAGCAUGGCUCCCUGCUUUCCAUCCACGGGGGAUGCAAGGCCAUAGACAAGUGUGUCUUCUGGCCCCAGGACUCUUGAAUAUUUUGGCACAUUUUCACUGUCUCUGGGAAACAAGCCUAAUGACACACUCAGUAGAGAUUGUCAAGCGCAUUAUAGAGACAGGAUGGAAUGCAAAGUAAAGUGUGCUUUCCCGGGCCAGCUCCUGGGAACACGACUCGAAUAAGAAAUUCCUGGUGAGAACUGGCCUUUUCCCAUCUCUCCUUUUUCUUUAGCAUUCUUUGCUCACUCUUCAACUAUUUAAGACUAGAUUAUAACAACGUUCUGGUAAAUUCAAGACAUACUUUGCAAAGAGUGCAAACAAAAUUGAACUUACUCAUCCUUCAGCAGCCAUGGGUAUCAAAUUUUUGUCUGGCAAAUCAUAAUAAUUUUAAAACAAAUUAGACAUCUUGGUUCUCCCAUUUCCUUUCUCAGACUGACAAAUCAUUAAAAAAUUCCUUUGAAUAGACUGCUUUAAAAUAUUCUUCUGAUAAGCAGGGGUCUCCUCCUGCCAGGCACCACCAGGCAAGUCACCCACCGCCGGCGCCUUGCGGGCGCCAUGGGCCACACGCAGCAAUUUCACUGUGGGCUCUCUGUCUUGGCUUGGGCCAUUACUCCGGACUUCGUUUUUGCUUAAACUUUCCAUUUCCUAUUGCCUGUGACGACAUAUCAUUAUUUACCACCUAUGAUUUCUAGUUUGUUCAAAAUUCCUGUGGAGGUGAGAGGGAGUUAAUGGGUGUAUUUAGGGACCUAACAGAAGAGCUGCUUCCUCCUGAGCCUCCGUGGGGAGCUGGGGGUCCUUGACUUUAUGCUGUAGACCAAGAUAAAGCCAUUCACACAGCCCAUGUGGCCUCAUUAAGAGCAUUUUAUCAGUUUGUGUGCCAGAUGAGGAAACGCUUCUGAUGUGACUGGAAAGUAAUAAAAUUUGACUCUUAUUCCCUAAGAUUGGGAAUAAAGAGAAAGAUAGCUGACAAAGAGAACAGUAAAGGCCAUCAGGUCUGACACAACCUAAAAAUAGAGAAAUGGUCAUUCUGAGGACCAGCUUGAAGGGCCGGAGGCACUGCUCAUGGAGGAAGCCGUGUGCCAGCUGGAAGGAUCAACCGUGAUAGAUUGUAUGAGGACCCAUGGAGGCCCUCUUAAUGGAAGAGCUAUGUGACCUCCAUCCCACUCUUAAUUGUAGCACGUUCUUGGCUAUUGACAGCAUCACAGCUUAAGUGUGGGAGGCUGGCUCGAAAGGCCAGUCUGGCCCAUGCAGGGUCUGCUGGAUUCGUCUCUGAGUUUGGAUGCUGGAGCCUUGCCCUGGUCCUCGGUGUCAUGGCGACUGCUCGGCGUUCACCCUGAAUGCUGACCCUAUUGGAAGGUCUCCCCUACUUGCUGAAAGCUGAAGGAGCCCAGUCCACACAGAUCUUCAGAUCCGCCGUAACAUCCUUAUAAGAACAUACCCUUAAAUCCCAUGUUGAAAUCAUUCCUAGAUUUCAUUUUUGGGUGUGGAAUAUUGAUAAUUGAUUUACUCAUUUCAGAAAGGGACCGACUCCCUCAAUCCUGGCAGCCUGUGGCUUUUCACCCAUGCUCACAUGGGAUCCCCCUCAUGUGGGUGACUUCAUCGCUGUUAUCAUCACAAUACCCAGUUAGUAUUAUCUGUGCCCAGCACUGUACCAACCACAUCACCCCAGACUUCAUUUUCUCUUCACAGCUCCUCUCCGGCGUUGGUCCACUGAGUUUCACUAAAUCAUGGAUGAGGAACUAAGGUACAGAGUGGUUAGUUAACUUGCCCGAGACGUCGCAUUUAGUCUGUGCUGGAUCCUAAACCUGAGCUCCCGUUUAAGGAGCAGUGCCAUGCAGCUCAGGGACUUCUGCCUCUGGCUCUCCUGGAAGUCUGCGCUCAGCUCUUACUCAAAUGUGGGAUCUGAGAAAGUUCCCCCACUUCUCUGAGCUUCAGUUCCAUCAUCAAGGAAGGCGGAACGAUGAUAGAACCGGAAAAAAUCUACGUGAAGUCAUUGACACAGAACCUGGCACAUGGGAUGCACUCAGUGGAUAUUCUCCACCAUUCUGCUCUGCUCUGCUGUCUAUAAAAUGCUUUUGUGACCUAUGUCUAUACUAGGUAGCAGAUAGAUAGCGAUGAAAGAUAGAUAAUAAAUAGACAGAUAGAUAGAUAGGUAAUUUUACCCUCCCCUCCUUAGCCAGACUGGAAUCAUAAGGGCCAAGGAAUAUUACCUUUGUUUAUAUUCCCACACAUGAUUUCUGUACUUACUUCUCAGGAAAUGGGUAAUGGGUAAAUGUAUUUUUAUCUUCUUACUGAUUACUAUCUCAACUAUCUCAGGCUGGUUAUGAAAUACUUUCUACAUUAAGGAGGGCCUCGCUGCAGGACUGCAGGCCUACUGUGAGGUGCUGGAUUUGCCCCAAAGAGGACUGCAUUAGUCAGGUUCUCCAGAGAAACAGAACCAACGGGAUGUAUAUGGACAUAUAUAAGAGGUGAUUUAUUAUAGGAGUUGGUUCACGUGGUUAUGAAGGCUGAGAAUUCCAUGAUAUGGGGCCUGCAAGCUGGAGGCCCAGGAAAGCUGGUGGUAUAACUCAGUCAGAGUCCUAAGGCCCAAGAACCAGGACCACUGAUGUCUGAGGGCAGGAGAAGAUGGACAUCCAAGCUCAAGAAGAGAAGGAGAGGAAUUUGCCCUUCCUUCACCUUUUUUGUCCUACUGGGGCCCUCAAAGGAUUGGAUGAGGCCCACCUGCAUUGGUGAGGACGAUCUUCUUUACUCGGUCAUCUGAUUUAAAUGUUUCCAUCCAGAAACACCCCCACAGCACACCCGGAAAUCAUGUUUAAGCAGCUGGCUGGGUGUUCCUCAAUCCAGUCAAGUUUACACAUAGAAUUGCCUUCACAAGUACUUAGUAGAGCGUGGCUGAUCAUGACUCCCUUGGAGAGCCACCUGUUUCUGGUGGUCAUUAACACACAGUAAUCAGGUCAUCUGUGCAGUCUGAACCUUUACCCUUCAAACGGCCUCAACUGGGAUUUCCUGGGUCUUCUUUAAGGAUGAAGGAGGGGAGCCCACCUUGACCAACCCGCAUUGCAUCAGAGCAACGUGAACGCCAGCACCAAUGAGCCAGCCUCCAACCUGUCAAGACUUUUCGAGAUUUUAAGUUGAGGACACAGAAAUAAAGCACGAGAAUAUACAAUAAGGGUAUUUUUUUUUUUAAAGAAAAGGGUUUAUAUCUGAAGACACAAGUAAAAUGCUACACUUUGACUCUUCAACCACUUAAAUUUUAAAUAUACAAGGAAAAUUGGCAUCGUUUUAGAUCCAAUUUAUUCUCCGUGAACUUUGAGCACAUCACACAGUGAAACUAUCCCCUGGGCCUGCACUGAGUCAAUCUCCUCCUUUUAAGUAUUGAGCUAAGAAAGCAUGAGAACCCAAAAGAACCCUUUCAGAAUCAACCAACAGUAGAAGGGGCUUUGGUAAGAAAAAGUGAGCCAAAAAUGAAUAAAGUUGAAUGUAAUACCCACUAAUGAGCCAAAGGCCUUAAGUCUACAUGAAGGCAAAGUAGAAGGACACUGACAGGAGUACACCAGCGUUGGCCUGGCCAUUGGGGACAUUUUUAUUAAUAGAUCAGAGAAGACUUUAAUUUGCACCAACUGACACACUAUGAAAUGAGUAUUGGAUGAGGUAUCUCUAAUUCCGUAAGAGAACACAAUUUUUAGGAUCCUUUUAAGUUAACGUAUUUGCAUCGACAAUCAUACCUCUUUGUGAACGUGUAACACCGAAAAGAAAAAAUAAUUUAGAAUUCUUACUUCCAAAAUUUGAACAUGAUUAAUUUUUAUUAAUAUAGGGGCUUAUAAAGUAAGGAAUAGAUUUCUAUUAUUUUUAAAAACAAGCAAGAUUUAAGCUGAGAUCCUGUCAUGAGUUAAAAACGCAAUAGGACGUUGGAAAGGCAGACCCCGUUUCUCUAGCCGGAUGCCCACUUAUGUUUCGAGGGGCAGCACCCAUGGCUGGCGUCACAUGGCUUCUUGCAAGCGUCAGCCUGUUCUGAUGCAUCUGAAGACGCACCUUUUCCUUUAUAACCACUGAGUUGUUUGUUAACAUUUAUCCAUGUCUCAUAGGUGUGCAGGCCACCGAGCCAGGCCCAGGGUCAGUUCUCUGCUUUUUAUUUAAAGACAGAUAUGAGAAAUGAAUAGAAGAGUUUUAGAAAAUGCAAUGCUAUGCCUUUUCUCAAACAACCUGAAAUCUUGACGAGUCACAUUUUAUAAAAAAUAAGAAAGCAACCCUAAACCACAAAUCUCAUGAAUUUAUAGCAAAUGCUCUUCUAAACUCCGUAAUUGGAAAAUAGAGCAGUUAUUUCUACUGAGUAACUUUCAAAAAGCAUCAGUAGGAAGAUCACUAAUAUGUCAUUUAAGUGGAAGAAUAAACAGUGUUUUGUUUCUCACAGCCCCCUGGUCAUCAUUCAGUGGGCUUCCCAGUAGCUCCUUCUAGCUGUGAGGUCAGUUUGCCCUUGGCCCCCACAUCUUCCUCUGAUGGUAAUGCCCCUUCCCUCUGACACAUCGGUGUCUGAGUCGAGUUGUAGGUAGAGGGGUUUCUAAGAAGGGUUGUAACAGGAUCUAACACAGGGUCCCCUGAGAUGGGAGGAGAGAAUGGAGAUUCCUCUCCUAGCACUGUAUGUGGCUCAGAGCACUCAAUAACUGUCAGCACUGGUCCAGUCCCACAGCUGUUAGAUGGGGACACAGGCUCCGAGAGGCCCUGGUUUGGCCAGGGUCACACGUGCCCACUGCUGCCUCCCCUGCUUGGGCAGCUGUCAUGUGGUGGAAGGAACCACACAGCCUGUGGCCACUGAGCCACUUUAUUCUUCCAUUUGUCUCUGCGACUCACGAUAGCACACCACGAAAGAUCAAAGAAAAUAAGUUAAAUAAAAAUACAGCCCAUGGAUUCCUUUCUGGAGAACGUUAUGUGUAUUCUUCCUGUGCCUUCAGAGACUCCUGUUUGCCAUGUUAAUCUUUCCCCACUUUUCUUAGAAAAAUAUGGUGCAGGUGCCCGUGCAGAUGGAAGCUGCCUGGAGCAGGUGAGCUGCAUGUUUGAGAAUCAGCCCCUCCCAGGUAGGAGCCCUGGCACUCCUCAGGACAGACACUUAGGCUCCAGGACCUCAAGGUUGGGGGAAAGACCAAAUCUAAACAUUGCUGGUGCUACAACUACCACCACCCACCCCUCCCAGAGAGACCAGGCUUGAGUCCUUCUGGGUCAGCACGCCCCCUGGCUGUGGGGUUUUGUUCUGGAUCCUGUGGAUCGGUUCAUAGCAUGGCCCUUUGCCGGCCGUGUCCUCUUCAUGUGGUCAGCCAGUGGGGACACGCACCCUCCUGGUGGCCUGCCUGGGGCUCUGAGAAUCUUGGAUCACCUUCAAAAUGCACUCAAAUCAUUUUUGGCUCCUUCCUGUGUUCAGUCAACACAAAUAAGCCUUGGAAGGCCCAGCACGGUGUGCCCAGCUGUGCAUCAGAGGAAAGUUGAUAAAUAAAUACGAUGCCACCACCGGAGAAAAUGUCCAAAUUGGUCAGAAAGACCAAGAAAUAGGAAAGUGUGAUAAAUUCUGUUUGUGAGUGUACAAAGUAAAAGGCACAGCUCAGGAGGAAGCAGCUCCUCAUAAAGUGACAGCUGUGAGGAUGUUGAAACUGUGAGGAGAAGAGGCUCAGGAGGGUGGGACUGUGGGCUCCUGCGGGACUGUGGGAAGGGGGGUUCUGUGGAGGGCUGGGAACACAAGGGAUGUGCAUGGCUGAAGGAUGGUCCGUGGCGGCCACACAGAAUCGGACACAAUUGCAUUUGCCCUGGUUCUACUGGUUAAUGGCUGUAUGACUCAAGGAAAUAAUAUGACCCCUCUGGGCCUCCGUGUCUUCAUCUAUGACUGGAAAUACAAAUGCCUACUUGCAGUUGGAUGUAAGGACUCAAAUGGGAAGCACUUGGCACAGCAGUCAUGGCGGCAGACAGUGUCAUUCGAUGAGUGGUAGCGAUAGCUGUCAUUGCUUCACCAACAAACCUGCAUGUGUUUACUUCUGUUGAAUGUAUUCAUGGUUCCAGGUGCUCAGAAUUUAUCAGUUAAAAUAUCCAUAAAGAUCCUGGGUAGAAUUCCCUGUACAGUUUACAUUCUACAAGCAGAAACAGCCAAAGAGAAUAAACAUAAGUAAGCAAACUGCACGGUAUGUUAUUAGGUGGUGAGUGCCUUGGAGAAUCCUUUCUGGGGGGAGGAGGAGAGAGAGUGCGUGAGGAGGUGCUGGAGAGAGUAAAUGCACCAUCAGGGGAUGCCUUCCUGGGAAGGGGAUGUGAGGAUGUGAGAGGCAGCCAUGCGCACAUCUGGAGGAAGAGAGCUGAGACAGAGGAGAAGGGAGUGAUCGAGUACGGUAAAUGCUGCUUGUAGAUCAAGAAAGAUUAAGUCUGAAACUAAUCAUUGGGUUUAGCUAGGUCACGGCAUUGGCAGCAGUGAGAGGAGCAGGUUCAGUGGGGUGGUGAGGCUGGAAGUCUGGACUGGGGUAAGAGAGGAUUGAGGAGAGAAACUCGUGAUGGCAAGAGGACAUAGCAGUUCCAGGAGAUUCACUGCAAAGGGGAGGUGAGAAAUGGGAAGGUAGCUGGCAAGAAAGUGUGGUCCAAAGGAAUGUUCUGUUCUGUUUUGUUUUGAUUGUGUCUUAAAAUGGGACAGAUAACAGCAUGUGUGCUUGCUGAUGGGAAAAAUCCAGCAGAAAAACAAUGAUGCAGGGAAAAAAAGCAGAGAUUUAUUGGAGGAACACUGUUGAGAGGGCAAGAUGAAAUAGGGUCUCAUGCACAAGGAAAGGGAUCUGCUUUUGAUCAGGACAAGGACACUUCAUCAUGGUUAUCAGGGAGGAAGGAAGGAUUCAGGGGUACAGAUGCUGUGAGAUAAGUGGAUAUGACAGUGGGAGCAGGUGGGGGCUUUCUCCAGAUUUCUUCAAGUUUCUCAGAGAACAGGAGAGUGGCGCUGGCAGCUGAGAGCGAGGAUGAGGUCAGAACGGCUGUAGACUGAGGAGAGAGGAGAAAGCACAAAGUAGUAACCUAGGAAAUUGGGAGGGUGAAUGGACAAGGGAGAUGGAGUCUGGCCAAUGGGUGGCGCUGAGCUCCCUGCUGGGGUUGGCGUUUAUGCUCCAGGGUUUUGAGAGCUUUUCACCAGCUGUGGUCAGUCGCAUAAUUGCAGACAUGGAGUUGGAAGAGAGAGUGGUUUAAUCAGAGUCCUGAUUUAACCAAGCAAGUCAACAAAGCAAGAGAGAUCCAAAAGCGUUGAGAUUGCAGGAAAGGCGGUGUUUCACGGAAAUUAAAUAGGGUAAGAUUGGGAGACUGGACAUCAGGAGGAUGGGUGACUGACCCCAAAGUGGUGAUAAGGGUCAACAGACCAGAGGUCUCAGUAAGACCAAAGGAGUGUUGGCACACCUGACCAGAGGGAAUGAGCUGGAAAUAUGGGGGACGGGUUGAUGACUGGGGCACAGAAACUGAGAUUGUGAGGGGGCUGUAGCUGUUGACAAUGACAAAGAUGUGACCAUGCAACAUAGUGCUGAGGCAGCUGGAGGACAAGACGCUGAGUCCAAGAAAUUGAAAGCCAGGGUAUUAUAAAGAGGAUGCACGCGGUUAGUGAAACUGCCAAGAAAUUUUACGAGUCAGUAUUGGGUGGUCACAUGGGUUGUUAUUCUUUCUAGCUUAUUGCUUUAGCAGAUGUGAAAGUCCCCUCCCUCACAGUGUGUCCCGUGGGGUCACAGAGAGGAAGGUGGGGGAGUCCCAGAAAUCAACAUCUUUUGUGGACUGAAUUGUAUCUUCCCCAAAUCCAUAUGUUGAAGCCCUAACUCCCAUUGCUACUCUAUUUGGAGAUGGGGCCUUUAAGGAGGUAAUUAAGGUCAAGCGAGAUCAUGAAGGUGGAGCCCUGAUUCAAUAGGGCUGGUGCCCCUAUAAGACGAGGAAGCACUCUCUCUCUCUUUCCACACACGCACUGAGCACAUGGAGAAAAGGUGGCCGUCUGCAAGCCAGGAAGAGAGGCCUCACCAGAAACCAACACCACUGGCAUCUUGAUCUUGAACUUCCAGCCUCCAGAACUAUGAGAACAAAUGUCCCUGGCUGUGGUGUUUCCUUACGGCAGCCCGAGCCAAGUCAGCAUCUCUCUUUGAUCCCUGACUUCAGGUCACUGACUUGGGUUCUCUCUUCAGUUUGGAUGAUUAACUACUCCGAACCUGUAAUUCAGACCACAGGCUUCAGAAGACCUUGGCUCUGGAGAGAGGGAAAUACUCACCAAAACAACCAAACAACCAUGCUCCAGCUCUCCAGGUGCGGCCAGACCACCCUGAUGGUGUGAAGCAUCUUUCGACUCUCUGGCUAUUGAAUCAGGAAGAGUUGUGAACGAGUGCCACUCUGAGGUCGUACAGUGUGGACACCACAUGCUGCAGCUUCCGUCUGAAGCUGAGCUGGACUCGGAUCCCGGCUCCUCUCCUUCCUAUCUUGUGACUUCUGAGAACACGGCUUUUCUUUCUCAAUUUUAAGAUCCUGGAAGUGGGAGCACCUGUCUCGUUAACCUCAUAUGAAGAUGAAAUGAGAUGGUAGGGGGGUAACUUCUUGUCACACACAGGGCCUGGAAUAUUGCAAACCCUUUGUUUCAUUGGGAUACAGGCUUGGCUGGUGUGACAAGGGCACCAAAAAUGCAGAUUCCCAAGCAAAAUAGAUGGCUAGUUGUCUCCCACAUCAUUAUCCCCAGGAAGACAGCUGGUCCCCCAGUGGGUGGGCAGUUCUGCUUUACCAGGUCAUCAGGGUACCAAGUUUGUGUUCUGACAUUCUUCAGCAUGCGAUUCUCAAAGCUGCUCGUCAGCAUCAUGCCCAAAUUCCAGUCCACAGGAAGAGGAGGCGAAUUGAGCACAGACACAGAGGACCAGCACGUUGCUUUUACAUGUGUAGACAUGACACACACUUCUGCUCAAAUCGCAUCUGGAAGAAAUUAACCAACGGUCCCACUUAGCUGCCAGGAGGCUAUGACGGUGGUGGUCACAUCUCUGCUAAAUUCAGGUAGGAGGCAGAGGGGGAGGGUCCCAUGACUACAAGGAAGGAGGGAUAUCCCAAGACAGUUAUUCAUCUUGUUAUGGAUAUUUAGAAAUGUUGCACACCUGUAUUUCUUACUUUUCUCAUUACAAGGUGAUUCAUGGGAGAUGUCCAAGAACACAAGUACAUUUUUCUCAAAACACAGUUCUUUUCUUGGAGAAUGACUCAGACACUUCCUCCCAGGGACACGAUGCUGUGGCUGGUGCUCUGUUCUUGUUGUGAUCUUAGGAAAGUCUACAGAAAAGGUGCAGCCGAGAGACUGCUCCUUUGUAACACGCAGUAGCAGAAAGUAUACCAAAGGAAAGGACAUCAUCAACACCCACGACCAUAUCUUGUCUUUGCGUUACGGAUUCUGGGAGCUUUUGUGGACUUCUGGAAAAACGAUCACUAUUGCUGGAUUCUUUUUUUCAAUGGAAAAUAAUUAACGUUAAUUGCUAAACAACUUCCCGACAUUGGUAGCAUGAUUCAGCUCUGAAUUUCCAGGAGCCAUUAUGAGAAUUGGGUAGACUCUUCUCUUUGAAAACUUGCGUUAGUUGUGGAUUCCUUGCUUCAGACAGAAUGAACCUUGUCUAAUGGUGCUGAGUCUCCAACCACUGCACGUUUUCAAACGUUGACUAAUUACCGAGGGUGUAAACAGUUUUAAUGACCCGUUGGCCAAGGUGACCUCUGAACUUCGGUAGUUCAGGGAUGUCUGUGUCUCCUAAGGUAUAGUCUGAAAACUCUUGCAAGCCUGCUAGGAACAAAGACUUCCCAACAGCAUCCUGGCUUAUGAGUAUAAAUCCUCAGCACUCUCCACAGGAGUGUGACAUUACUGAAUAAUCUGUCACCUUCAAACCAGCCACAAAGAAAGUUCCAGGCUGUCCUUUAGAAAGAGGGUCAGCAGAACAAUUGCUUUGGGUUAACUUUGGGUUUGGAGUGUUGCAAACCAUCCAUUAUCUGUUAGACUGUGAUUUUAAUUGUCCAUCAUCUGUGUUUGAGUUUGUAUAGCUUCACACUGUCAAAGCUGAUGGCUGUGUUUUUCCUCUUUCUUUUUGGAGGUCCCAAGAGAGUCAGUGGGGAGCGUGGCUGUCUGAGCCCACAUCCCCCAGCGGAUGCUGCUCUCUGCUCUCGGCUGCCUGGUCUCCAGCGGCUGCCACGUUGCUAGAACUUCUGGCAGCAGGAGGUUGAAACCCACGUCUGCUGGCGCCAGUCCCAGAGCUACAGGAAGUCUCCAAAUGUUUUUUUUUUUUCUUAACAGACAAAAAAAUUUUUGACUCGGGAAUGAUUUCCAGGAAUUACAGUAUGAGAUCUUAGUCUGUGAGAUUUUAAUUUUCUUCUUAAGAAAAUCAAAAUGAAAUCAACCAGACUGAACACACCACGGGCGGGCACAUUUCACUUUGUAACGAACAGUGAACGUUUUCCCCUUCACCUCCCUCGGAGCGGGAGGAUGAGUUUAAUAGCUUUUCCUCAGCGGAGAGCGAGAGGAGGGAGGUAACGCUGGAUCAGAGGGGCAGGGAGGCCCUGGGAAAGGCCAUUUCUCUGCUUUCUUCUCAGAGCUCUGUCGCUGCCAGAAGGUUCUGAGCAUUGCCCCUCCUCUUCUCUCUCGAGAUCAUGGUCCUCCCUCAGGACGAGCGGGAAAGGCUCAGCAAGCCAUUCAGUCCUCAGGGAAAGUUCCGUGCUGCCUUGAUCAGGAAGGAGAUGGGGAUGGGGCUGUCCAGGUGGUGUCAGGCUCAGAGGAGGCAGGGCCUUUGGUACGUGUCACACCCACGAGGAAUCUGAGAAACCCACACGGUCGCCUGUCACGUUUCCGUCUCUGACUGACCCUGUGUGCAUUCAGAGUCGGUUAAAGGAGCUCGGUCCAUCUGGUCAUCAAUGAUGACGUGGUCUCUGACUGUGACUUCAGACAGGUGCUGUGCCCUCUGAGGACAUCCCUAUCAGGCCCGUGGGGUGAAUACACUGGCCUCACUGCUUUGACACGAAUCUGUGAACACGUGAGACCCAAGGUGAGGGGAAGCAUUGGUAAGGCGCGAAGGGCGCCACAGGUGUGAGCGAUUCCUGUUACUUUCCAAGUCAUCUCCGCUCCCUCCGAGAGGAAAAGGGCUGCCCAUAGCCCCCGAUGGCUUGUAGAAAUCCUUGGCUGUGGGGCUGGAACCUCUGUGUCUCCUUCACGGGAUGCAGGAUCAUGAGCGGUUACCAGUGUGAGCCACAGGAGGGAGGUCAUUGCGACCAAACUAACGCGCAGUAAACGUGAUCCCUGUGUGGCCAAAGGCCACGGAAGGCUGAGCGGUUCCCAUAAGCGCCUCCUCCAUGAGGACCCUGAGAUGACAUACACGUAAAAAAUUGACUGAAUGUUCUAGAAUCUUCUGUCUCUUUGGUAAUAACUAACUCUCAGAAAAAAACAUAUAUUUCAAGUUUACGAGGUCUACAGUUUUCCAAGUCUGUUGACAACUGUGCUUUCGUUACCUGUUUCUGCCUGACAACCUACCUCAAAGUAGCUUCAACUAAGUUUAUUAUGUCGCACGAUUCCUGAGGGUCAGGAAUCAGGAGCAACUUGGCCGGCUGGGUGGUUCUGGCUCUGGGUCUUUCUCUGUCUCUGUCUGCCUCUUGGUCUCUCUUUGUCUCUGUCUCUCGUGUCUCUCUCUUUCCCUCUUGGUCUCUCUCUGUCUCUCUCUGGAUCCUCCAUGAAGGUGGGGUUUAUCCGUGUGCCAGCUUGCAAGUGUAUUCGGGAUGUAGUGUUGUUCCCGGCUGAUAGUAAACAUUCAGUAAAUACCUAUUAAAAGAACAACAGAGGAAGCUGAACAGCAUCUGGGUUAGGCAACGGCUGUCCGUGCAAAGUCCCUGUGACGGUCCACACUCCUCUGCCUCAGUCUCACACGUUGACUUGGACUCCUGCAGGCUUUCUAUUAAGACUUGUGCCAAUGUUAACACCUUUUCUUUUUUUUUUGAGGAAGAUUAGCCCUGAGCUAACUGCUGCCAAUCCUCCUCUUUUUGCUGAGGAAGGCUGGCCCUGAGCCAACAUCCGUGCCCAUCUUCCUCCACCCUACAUGUGGGAUGCCCACCACAGCAUGGAUGGUGUGCCAAGCGGUGCCAUGUCCUCACCAGGGAUCCGAACCGGUGAACCCCAGGCCGUGAUAAGCGGAACACGUGCACUCAACCACUGCACCACCAGGCUGGCCCCUAUUAACACGUUUUUAAUUGGAGGAAAAGCCAUGGAAGGUUAGCUUGGGGAUGGUCUCAGUGAUAACAAUGCUGAGUUGUUGACCCAGUAUCAUGGCCUCGGGUUGCCUGUCCCCAUCUGCUUCCUUGGAGGCCAGAGCUUCAGCUCCUCUGUCUGCAUCUUAAGUAAAGCUGCUCCCCUCCCCUUGCCUUCAUGUUCUCCAGCCCCAGCUGGUCCUGCUGGCUCUCACCCUCACUCUCUGGAGCCUCGAGGUCUAAGCUGCAUGGCAGAUAUGAUCACGGAAGCGGAAGCUGGUUUUGAGAGAAAUGAUAGAAAGGCUGGCACAUUGCUACUGAUUGUCUGGAGGCCAUGGAGAGAAAAAAAGGUGAAAGAUGUAACAUAACCUUGAACUUGAGAACUUGGAGGGGUGGGAGGCUGUGUCCCACUGAACAGGUCUUGGAAACAGAAGGUCUUUUCGUGCAGGAAGAAUAAAAAGCUGUUGACUACUGAGAAGCCACCUUGGCAGCAGCCACAGAUGCAGAGCAGAGCCAAGUGACAUGCAGUCGAUGUAUAAAAGAAUUCGUGGACGUUUUAUGUAAGACUAUCCCAUUUCCGCUGAUGAUAGAGGCACGCAAAGAGGCAGCUUACGUUGAAGACUUCAUUUUAGAAUCCCUUGGCCAUCUUUUCUCCAAAUCUGAAAUCCCUUUCCUUUCUGGAGCAUACCCAAGGAGAAACUCCUAAUGAAUCGUAUCAUGUGCUGUUCUGACUCCUCGCCACGAAACACAAAGAUCUCUUGUAGCCACGUGUACAGAUGGUGGUUAAUUCAGGAAAUGAAGAAAGACAGCUUGCUCCUGCUACGGUGAAUAAUGUCUUUGUUAUUUCAUUUCUGAAGGAGGCAGAUUAUUCCAUUGUGUUUUGAUGAAAUAGAUGAUCUUUCCACUUUUAUGAGAAUGAAAUAAACAAUUCUGGGGCUUAAAAAGUCUCCUGUUUAUAUAUCAGUUUCUGCCGAAGACUUUGAAGAAGUGGAUUGCGGGGUGUGGUAUGUCUCUCCCUGCCCUCUGCAAACACAGGGCCUGCGUUUUUCCUGGGGUGAAGAGCCCCAUGGCUUCACUCUGGGGUCCAAUUCAGAAUGCAGGCUUUAACUCUUCAGAGCAACGAUCUCCUGUGUGUGUAGAAGGCUUCCAGGACUUGUAAACAUCUUUCUGCGUCAGCACCAGGGCUGUGGGCACAUGUGAAACUGUGGUUGAUCCUGCCUGUGGAUUGCAGAUACCAGAACAAAAUAGAAUAUUCUGUCUCUUAUGGAGAAUCCGCUGUUCACAUUUUUGUUUAGAAACCAAGUUUUGGUUUGGUUCAGUGAUUCUAAAGCAUUUCAGAGACAACAACUGCCAUGAAGUAUGAGCUUGUGAUCCUUACUCCUUCUGAUGUAGCUUAAGGUUUCUCCCCUUCUUUAUGGACUAUGAUUUUGCGUAUCAUUUUAAAAUGGGAUAAGCAUAACAUUUAGGAUUAAAUUGCUGAUUAUUUACAUACGUGGCUUAGUGAGAGUAUCUGAGAUGGGGCUUGUUUAGCAUGAAUUGUCUCAGUUCAUGAUUCCACCUAUGAUUGUGUAGUGCAUUUAUUCAUUUACUAACAAAUCCUGUACCACUUUCACUUUUAAGUUAAUUAACAUAUAUUUAUUCUAGGAAAUGGGGAUAUAGCAGUGACCCAACCAGGCAGAAUCUCGUUACUGUAGAGUUUACUUUCUAGUGGGGAGAUACAUGAUAAAAACAUAUGUAACAUGAUAUCAGGUGCUACCAUAGAGAAAGAGAAAAUCUGGAGGUGGGGCAGAGAGAACAGACAAGGACAUGUUGCUUCAGGAGAAAGCCUGGUCCAUGGGGACCUGAGCCACAGGAGGAAGGGAGCCAGCCACCUGCAUGGGUGCAAACCCCUGGGUGUAGGCCCUGAAGGUGGAUGAAUUAGAUGCAGAAACUUAAACCGUGUCCUAUCAUUUUACUUUAUUUUUUUGAGGAAGAUUAGCCCUGAGCUAACAUUUGUGCCCGUCUUCCUCUAUUUUACAUGUGGGACACCUGCCACAGCUUGGCUUGCUAAGUGCUGCAGAGGUCCACGCCCAGGAUCCGAACCAGCGAACCCCGUGCCACCAAAACGGAGCAUACUAAGUUAACCUCUAUUUGACUGGGCCAGCCCCUAAACCAUGUCUUAUUAUUAACUUUGUGCUUUGCAUAAGCAAUCCUGAUGUGUUAUCAUAAGAUUUAUUGAUUUAUUUUUAAAGACUGGCCCUGAGCUAACAUCUGUUGCCAAUCUUUGUUGUUUUUCUUUCCUCUUCUCCCCAAAGCCCCCCAGUAUAUAGCUGUAUAUUCUAGUUGUGGGUCCUUGUGGUUGUGUUAUGGGGGACGCCACCUCAGCAUGGCUUGAUGAGCGAUGCCAUGCUUGUGCCCAGAAACCGAACCGGCAAACCCUUGGGCCACCGAAGUGGAGCAUGUGAAUGUAACCACUCAGCCAUGGGGCCAGACUCCAUCAUAAGAUUUAAACUCUAUUUCCUAUAAAACACAAAGAAAAUAAGUUCUAAACUGACAUUUUAAUAAAAACCAACUCCAGAAGGUAACCCGCUCUUCCUUCCUGAAUAUAUUGCCAUGACUCUCCUGCAAGAUGAAUUCUCCACUUUUAAAUCUAACACAAAAUGGAGAAUAGAACUGGGGAUAAAUUCCUGUUUGCCAAUAAAUGAAAAAUUCAUAAUUUUGUUUAGAAAAAUCUGCAUUAUGAAAUUCCGGUGUGCAAUCCAGUAACCAUGAUCCCCAGCCCCAGUGUGAGAUCAGCGGGUAGAGACGGAAAGCAUGCAGAGGGCCCUGUGACUCCCUGUGCGAGAGUGCAGCAGGACCUGACCAGGUGGGAAGCGUUUUCCAGAUCGCUGUGACCUGGUCUGCCUGGUGGAGAGCAAACGCUAGAAGAAAUAUUUACAGAGAUACAGGGAGAGACUAUACGUGACUUACCCCAGUGAAGUAGUUACUUCCACUUGGUUGGGAUUUAGAAUCAUUUGUGGGGAGAGCAUGCUGUAAAAGACAACACAUAAAGAGUUUUAGGAGAAGAUGUCCAUUUCUUUCAAGAUGUUUUGAUUCUUUGUAACAUAGAGGCUGUCUAGGAUAUCGUCUUAAUUUCCUCUUUCAUCUUUAGAAUUAAAAUACCUUAAAGAGAAUAGUGACAGCUGAUAGACCCAGCUGCAUGACUCUUAAUGGUUAGUCUCUGCCUUAUUUUCCUAUUCUUUCCACAGCUGGUCCCAGUAGCUUUAUAAACCUCUUAGCUCUCUCCUUAAAGUGUAAUAGUAAAAGCGAUGUUUGUCAAUUGAAAUGUGUUUCUUCUGAUCAGCUAAUUCAAUUCAACUUCUUCAAAAUGUGAAUUUAAUAAAAUGUAAAGUAUCUAUUACAAA